rnacentral:rRNA from 1 species
AUUGAACGCUGGCGGCAGGCUUAACACAUGCAAGUCGAGCGGGGUGAUGGUGCUUGCACUAUCACUUAGCGGCGGACGGGUGAGUAAUGCUUAGGAAUCUGCCUAUUAGUGGGGGACAACAUCUCGAAAGGGAUGCUAAUACCGCAUACGUCCUACGGGAGAAAGCAGGGGAUCACUUGUGACCUUGCGCUAAUAGAUGAGCCUAAGUCGGAUUAGCUAGUUGGUGGGGUAAAGGCCUACCAAGGCGACGAUCUGUAGCGGGUCUGAGAGGAUGAGCCGCCACACUGGGACUGGGGCACGGCCCAGACUCCUACGGGAGGCAGCAGUGGGGAAUAUUGGACAAUGGGGGGGAACCCUGAUCCAGCCAUGCCGCGUGUGUGAAGAAGGCCUUAUGGUUGUAAAGCACUUUAAGCGAGGAGGAGGCUCUUUUGGUUAAUACCCAAGAUGAGUGGACGUUACUCGCAGAAUAAGCACCGGCUAACUCUGUGCCAGCCGCCGCCGUAA